AUUGAACGCUGGCGGCAGGCCUAACACAUGCAAGUCGAGCGAGCGGCGGACGGGUGAGUAAUGUAUGGGGAUCUGCCCGAUAGAGGGGGAUAACUACGGGAAACGGUGGCUAAUACCGCAUACUCUCGGAUGACCCCAUAUGGGUUUCGCUAGUAGGUGGGGUAAAGGCUCACCUGGGCGACGAUCUAUAGCUGGUCUGAGAGGAUGAUCAGCCACACUGGAACUGAGACACGGUCCAGACUCCUACGGGAGGCAGCAGUGGGGAAUAUUGCACAAUGGGCGCAAGCCUGAUGCAGCCAUGCCGCGUGUAUGAAGAAGGCCUUAGGGUUGUAAAGUACUUUCAGCGGGGAGGCGUUACUCGCAGAAGAAGCACCGGCUAACUCCGUGCCAGCAGCCGCGGUAAUUC
rnacentral:rRNA from 1 species